rnacentral:rRNA from 1 species
UACGUAGGUGGCGAGCGUUAUCCGGAAUUAUUGGGCGUAAAGAGCGCGCAGGUGGUUGAUUAAGUCUGAUGUGAAAGCCCACGGCUUAACCGUGGAGGGUCAUUGGAAACUGUCGACUUGAGUGCAGAAGAGGGAAGUGGAAUUCCAUGUGUAGCGGUGAAAUGCGUAGAGAUAUGGAGGAACACCAGUGGCGAAGGCGGCUUCCUGGUCUGUAACUGACACUGAGGCGCGAAAGCGUGGGUAGCAAACAGGAUUAGA